rnacentral:rRNA from 1 species
UACGUAGGUGGCAAGCGUUGUCCGGAAUUAUUGGGCGUAAAGCGCGCGCAGGCGGUCCUUUAAGUCUGAUGUGAAAGCCCUCGGCUCAACCGAGGAGGGUCAUUGGAAACUGGAGGAUUUGAGUGCAGAAGAGGAAAGUGGAAUUCCAAGUGUAGCGGUGAAAUGCGUAGAGAUUUGGAGGAACACCAGUGGCGAAGGCGACUUUCUGGUCUGUAACUGACGCUGAGGCGCGAAAGCGUGGGGAGCAAACAGG